GAUGAACGCUGGCGGCGUGCUUAACACAUGCAAGUCGAACGGAAAGGCUCCUGCUUGCAGGGGUACUCGAGUGGCGAACGGGUGAGUAACACGUGGGUGAUCUGCCCUGCACUUCGGGAUAAGCCUGGGAAACUGGGUCUAAUACCGGAUAGGACGAUGGUUUGGAUGCCAUUGUGGAAAGCUUUUCAGUGUGGGAUGAGUUUGCGGCCUAUCAGCGUGUUGGUGGGGUAAUGGCCUACCAAGACGUGGACGGGUAGCCGGCCUGAGAGGGUGUACGGCCAGAUUGGGACAAGGAUACGGCCCAGGCUCUGACGGAAGGCAGCAGUGGGGAGUUUUGCACAUUGGGCGGAAGCCUGAUGCAGCGACGCGGCGUGGGGGAUGACGGCCUGCGGGUUGUAAACGCCUUUCGCUAGGGACGAAGCGCAAGUGACGGUACCUGGAGAGGAAGCACCGGCUAACUACGU
rnacentral:rRNA from 1 species